CUCAUUCUUUCGCUUUAAAAGACUAAGUAAUGGUUCAUUAAGUAAAAUAUUUUUUGUUGAUUCUUUUUACAUGAACUCUGUGUUGUCAUUAGAUUAAUGUGUAAGUGUUUGAGAACCGGACCGGAGGGUGUGCUCCAACUAUCAGGGAUCACACUUCUCAGCCUCCCCGCGAAUGUCUAUGCCAGGGUACUGAAGAGGAGAAUCCGGCCGAUGGUAGAACCUCGGAUUCAGGAGGAACAGUGUGGUUUUUAUCCCGGUCACUGGACCAGCUCUAUACCCUCUCCAUGGUGCUGGAGGGUUCAUGGGAGUUUGCACAUGUGUUUUGUGGAUUUGGAGAAGGCAUUCUACUGUGUCCCUCGCGGCAUCUUGUGGAGGGUGCUCUGGGCGUAUGGGAUUCGGGACCCUGUGCUAAGGGCUAUCCGGUCCCUGUACGACCAGAGCAGGAGCUUGCUUCGCAUUGCCGGCAGUAAGUCAGACUUGUUCCAGGUGCAUGUUGGACUCGGGCAGGGCUGCCCUUUGUCGCCGGUUCUGUUCAUAAUUUUUAUGGACAGAAUUUCUAGGCGCAGCCAGGGGCCGGAGGGUGUCGGGUUUGGGGACCACACGAUUUCAUCUCUGCUCUUUGCGGAUAAUGUUGUCGUGCUGGCCCCAUCAGACCAGGAUCUUCAGCAUGCACUGGGAUGGUUUGCAGCCGAGUGUGAAGUGGCUGGGAUGAGAAUCAGCACCUCCAAAUCCGAGGCCAUGAUUCUCAGUCGGAAAAUGGUGGCUUGCCCACUUCAGGUGGGUGGAGAGUUCCUGCCUCAAGUGGAGGAGUUCAAGUAUCUGGGGGUCUUGUUCACGAGUGAAUGAAGGAUGGAAUGGGAGAUUGACAUACGGAUCGGGGCAGCUUCUGCAGUAAUACGGUCGCUGUACCGGUCUGUCGUGGUGAAGAAGGAGCUGAGCUGCAAGGCGAAGCUCUCGAUUUUCCGGUCAAUCUACGUUCCUACUCUCACCUAUGGUCAUGAGCUGUGGGUCAUGACCGAAAGGACAAGAUCCCGGAUACAGGCGGCCGAAAUGAGCUUUCUCCGCAGGGUGGCUGGGCGAUCCCUUAGAGAUAGGGUGAGAAGCUCCAUCACUAGGGAGGAGCUCAGAGUAUAGCCGCUGCUCCUCCACAUCAAAAGAGGUCAGCUGAGGUGGCUCGGGCAUCUUUUCCGGAUGCCCCCUGGAUGCCUUCCUGGGAAGGUGUUCCGGGCAUGUCCCACCGGGAGGAGACCCCGGGGAAGACCUAGGACACGCUGUAGGGACUUUGUCUCCCAGCUGGCCUGGGAACGCCUCGGUGUCCCCCCGGAAGAGCUGGAGGAAGUGUCUAGGGAGAGGGAAGUCUGGGCAUCCCUGCUGCCCCCGCGACCCGGCCCAGGAUGAAGCGGAAGAAGAUGGAUGGAUGGAUGUUUGAGAACAACUGUUUUAACAGCCGAGCAUUAGCAAUGUAGAAAGUAUGAACUUUUCUCCACAGGUUUCUUGCAUAUUCUCAGAACAGCGCAAUUAUACGCCAGCCUUGUUUCUUGUUCCUUUUUCUUUUUAUAAUUUAUACCGUGUCUUCAGCAAUUUAUAACCCAUGUCCUAGUUUUCAUAACAUGUAAUAGAGAAAAUGAUAUUCUGAAUCUGUGUUAUCCAAGCCUUUCCAUAAAUAAGUCAAUGAUGUUUAAUGUCUUCCAGGCAAAGCCACAUGUGUUUCAGCUGUACCUAUUUUAUAACAGUCUCUUCAAAAAUAUGCUCUUCAAUACCAUCCAGAUGAAGUGUUUGCUAUUCGUUUCACUGACAGUUUACACUUUUCGAUUUAAUACUCUUAGACUUUUAGAGAAACACUCUCUCUUGUCAUCCUUGGGCUUGUUCCAUGGAGACAAAUUAAAACUGCUGAUCCAAGUUUAUUCUUUUUGUUUCAGGCCUGUGUGCUCAAGCUCACAAAUUACAGAAAGAGCAGAAACAUUCAUUUUAUUGUCGCAGUUUAAGAAAAGCUGACCAUACCUAUAGCUGACCAUACACUGCAAGUUGUAUCAUGUGUAUAACUGUAAGUGACGACUGACAAAUCUGAACUGAAUUUAAUAGAAUUCUUAACAAAUUGAAUCGAAUUGAAUGGAAUUAUGUAAGGUUUCCAGACACUUCGCCUUGUUUUUAAAUGGUCUCUCCCAAUGUAACAUUAAAUUAUUACUCUUCCACAAGUUGAACAUAUUACAACAACAUUGAGAGAGCGUGUUUCUUGUGUUGCUGGGCAUAAAUUGUGUAAACAGAGUAAAAGUAGGAAGAGCCAAUGGCAGUUUGUUGGAUUACAGUACAGCGGUAUUGGCUGGUACAGUAAGCUGUGCAUCCCUGUGAGAUAAGAAGAGUAUAUGGGGGGCUCAAUUGGGUUAGUGAAGGCCAUGUAGAACUCAUGCUACAUCCGCUGAGCUCCCCCUUCCCUCCUGCCAUGCAGAGGCACGGCUCAAUCAGUCCCAGAUGUUAGCUGAGAGGAAAGGAGAGAGAACCUGGAACCCCAUCAGAAAGCAGUCCAGGGCUUCCUAAAGGCCAGGAUUAUUGUAUCGCACACAAGCUCACACAUACACACCGCCGUCCUGCCUUAAACAUACGCUUUUUUUCAUGGAAGGCAUUAAUACUCAAUCUUUCCAUCUUUAGCUCUGUCCAAGAGAUUUGGAGCGAACAAGUUGCAGCUUGUAAAUUGAAAUGUGAGGCCCCUGUUUUCCCCUCUUGUCCCGUACUGAAUGAUUGAUUCUUCUCUCUC